AAAAACUCCGGUGGUAUGAGAUGGACCCGCGUCUGAUUAGCUGGUUGGCGGGGUAACGGCCCACCAAGGCGACGAUCAGUAGCCGACCUGAGAGGGUGACCGGCCACAUUGGGACUGAGACACGGCCCAAACUCCUACGGGAGGCAGCAGUGGGGAAUAUUGCACAAUGGGGGAAACCCUGAUGCAGCAACGCCGCGUGAGUGAAGAAGUAUUUCGGUAUGUAAAGCUCUAUCAGCAGGGAAGAAAAUGACGGUACCUGAGUAAGAAGCCCCGGCUAACUACGUGCCAGCAGCCGCGGUAAUACGUAGGGGGCAAGCGUUAUCCGGAUUUACUGGGUGUAAAGGGAGCGUAGACGGCGAUGCAAGUCUGAAGUGAAAGCCCGGGGCUCAACCCCGGGACUGCUUUGGAAACUGUAUGGCUGGAGUGCUGGAGAGGCAAGCGGAAUUCCUAGUGUAGCGGUGAAAUGCGUAGAUAUUAGGAAGAACACCAGUGGCGAAGGCGGCUUGCUGGACAGUAACUGACGUUGAGGCUCGAAAGCGUGGGGAGCAAACAGGAUUAGAUACCCUGGUAGUCCACGCUGUAAACGAUGAAUGCUAGGUGUUGGGGAGCAAAGCUUCUCG
rnacentral:rRNA from 1 species